rnacentral:tRNA from 1 species
CCUGGCAGCUCAGAUGGUAAAGCGUCUGCCUACAAUGCAGGAGACCCGGGUUCGAUCCCUGGGUCGGGA